GUCCACGCCCUAAACGAUGAUCACUAGAUGUUGGUUUCGCUUGCGAAAUCAGUAUCGUAGCUAACGCGUUAAGUGAUCCGCCUGGGGAGUACGGUCGCAAGAUUAAAACUCAAAGAAAUUGACGGGGGUCCGCACAAGCGGUGGAACAUGUGGUUUAAUUCGACACUACGCGAGAAACCUUACCUAGACUUGACAUGCUUUUGACUGCUAUGGAAACAUAGUUUUCCGGGUUUACUCGGACAAUUGCACAGGUGCUGCAUGGCUGUCGU
rnacentral:rRNA from 1 species